CGCUGGCGGCGUGCUCAUACAUGCAAGUCGAACGAGAAUCUGGCUUCGGUCAGAGGAAGGUGGCGGACGGGUGAGUAAUGUGUAGAGAAUCUGCCCUUAGUGGGGGACAACAGUUGGAAACGACUGCUAAUACCCCAUAUGCGCGUAGCUGAGAUGCUAUUCGUGAAAACUCCGGUGCUAAAGGAUGAGUCUGCAUCUGAUUAGCUAGUUGGCGGUGUAAUGGACCACCAAGGCGACGAUCAGUAGCUGGUUUGAGAGGAUGAUCAGCCACAAUGGGACUGAGACACGGCCCAUACUCCUACGGGAGGCAGCAGUAGGGAAUUUUGCGCAAUGGGGGAAACCCUGACGCCAGCAACGCCGCGUGAUUGAAUAAGCCCUUCGGGGUGUAAAGAUCUGUCAGUAGGGACGAAACUUGACGGUACCUACAGAGGAAGCAUCGGCUAACUCCGUGCCAGCAGCUGC
rnacentral:rRNA from 1 species